GAGCAACGAGAUGCAGCACUGAGGAAUCGAGAAGCAAAAUUGGAGCAACGACCUGCAGCACCGGGCAUGGGGAACCUGGGUCCAAACAUGUCUGAUCCUGAACCUCGGAUGAAGUCUAUGAAACAUGCAAGAAGGGAAAGGAUACAGAAGAACCUGCCUUACCACAAGAAAUUUAGUUCUAAUUACUGAUUGCUGGGCUGGGAGGGGUGCUGGAAUGGGAGGCACUGCUGGAAGGUGGAGGGGGAGGUGGGAGGUGAUUCGCGGUGGGCUGUUGGGUUGGCCACAGAGUUUCUGGAGCGGAAGGGGUCUCUGAACCCAAAGCCUGAGGAGAGAUCUGUGCUGUUAGGCACAGGAAAGGCCAGUUCAUGGCUCCCACCUCUACUCCCAUCCCCCUGUCCCAGUCCGUGCUCCCCAGGAAGAUUUGGGUCUUACUGGAGUGGGCUUGGGGGCUGGUGACUUUUCCUCAAUACCGACACUGGGAUCGAGAUCUUCACUUUCCCACCAGCCUCGUUCCACAGGGAGACCCUGCACCCCUGGUUUUGAGUGGAGACAAGGAAAACCCAGCUGUGCCUCAGCGACAGCACCUCCUACAUGUUCUCCUCCCCUUCCACCGUCUCAGUAGCCUCCAGCAACCCCGGCCCUUCUCCAGAGACUCCUCGCUCUUCUCUCCUGGAUCCUGCAGGAGAUGUGCCUCUCUUUGCCCCAGCCGUAGGAGAAGAUGGGGAGUGAGGGGCAGGCACAUGGGCUGCUGUGGGGUCUCUGAGCAGCCGGGGGUGUCCUCAUUUCAGCUUGGAUGGAGUUAUUUUUCUUUCUAGUAACUGCUGAUGUUUGGAUUUAGUGUGAGAAUGCCAUUGGUCACAAAUAUAUUUAUACGUGGCUGAGAAAUGUUCACUUCAGUCCAGAACUUUUCCAGCUUUCCCUCGCAGCUGAGAGGGAGCACGGCCAGGAUGAGGCAUCCAAAGGGAUAUUCCACCCCACAGACAUCCUGCUCGGGACAGAGACAGAGGCUGCCGGGGGCCUGGGACCCUCCCGCUGUGCUGGGGAUGGGCUGGGGAAUCAGUCCUCAGGUGCUGAGGGCAAAUGCUCUUGUAUCCCUUUAUUUUGUAUAUUUUGUUACAAUUAAGAAAGAUA